UCUACAAGAGGAAAAGAAAGGGAACUAUAAAUGGUGAUUUGUGGACCAUGAAGGAGGAGAGAACAAGAAGUCAACAAGAAGCUAAAAUCUCCUGUGAGUUGUCACCAUGAGCGGGCUGACUGAGGCAAAGCCAGACGCCAACCCCUUCUGGCACACAGGCAAGGAGACAAGAAGAGCCAGUGUUCCUCCCUUGCCCCAUAAGUGACCAGCUGAUCCAGAGACACACAGGCUAUGCUGAUAGCUAAUAAGAGUCAAAGAAGUAUCUCCUGAGACAAAGAUGUGGCCACCCCUGGAAUUCAGACUCCACAGUCAUGUUUGGAAAAGAGAAAGCCUGGGGUCAUAAAACUGCUUGGAGAGAUGAAAACACUUCCUAGAAGAUAACUCAUUGCAAGGGAAGAAAAAAACAGGCACAACCACCUUGAUGCUGUCACAAAGCCCUCAUUACCAGUGUGAGAAGUAAUUUGGGACACAAUUUUGUGCCAGUCUCUCAUUAGCACCCAGGGAUUUACAUCUGGGUCCUAGGGAUAGAAAGGGCUUUGGACGAAACUCGAAAUAUGUUAGCUUGACUUGAUAGCUCCUCACAAAGUGUGGUGUGAGAGAGAUAGGGAAAGAGACCUUGGCCAAUAGACUAUUCUGAAACUUCAAAACUGCCAGCACACAUUAUUGUCAAGAGCCAGGCAUCACCAAGGUCAUGGAUGUGAUUCAAGACAGAUGUCUAUGGGAACAACAGUUCUGUCCAGUGGUAUGCCCUCAGGCCUGCAGGUGUGAUGAACUCCGGGAACCUGUUUGGGGCUCUCCCAAGGCAGCAUCAGUAUGGUGUCCUGCUAAGGAAGGUUCAGCGUGCUGGGGCUGGGGGAUGAGAUUCUUCCUUAUCAGAACUUCAGUCUGAAUUUCCAGGUUGGAACUGGCAGAGGACUAGGAAGGAGAGGAAGAUAGGAGGAACUCUUCAGAAGUAAGCAAAAACAGGGCUACUGAAUUUCUUUCCCAGGCCAGGUGUUGAUACGGCUAGAUGGAAAUGGUUGAAACCCGACCAGACACGUUUCCAAGUAUGCACGAAACUCAGAUGCAAAACUAGCAGCAGGCGGACAUUCAUUUCACUGAAGCAAGAGUUUCACUGGGAAUGUUCAACAUGAAAGUGGGAUCACUUUGCAAAUAGUCCAUAGAGCCAUCAACAGAUGAAUAAAGGAUAAACAUGGGUAAAGAAAAUGUGGUAUUAAUGUACAAUUGAAUACUACAUUGCCAUAAAGAAGGAUGAAUCAGACAUUUUUAGAUAAACAGAUGCACCCCGAGACCAUAAUUUUAAGUGAAAUAAACCAGACAUGCAAGUUUAUUACAUUGUUUCUUUUUUGUGAGAACUCAAAGAAUAAAUAGGAAGCAAAAUGGAGAAUGGAUAUUGGGAAGUAAAGAACUUGUUCAAAUGGAAAGAUGAACGAGGGAUGCAGUGGGGGAAAGAAAAGUAAGGAAAAAGGAUUUUUUAAAAAGAUAGUAGAAAAAAAAAAAAAAGAUGGGAAUCCCAGCAUCACACAUCCCAGAAACAGUCACCUCGGAAAAGUCCCAUUGAGACUUCAUGAGGCUUUGGAGGGACAUCUAGACACAAGACAAAACACAACUGAAAACUAAAAGUGGAAGGGGAGAGUUCUGAAGAUGGCAUCUUGAUAGGUAGCUGGGUAGAGAGCUUCUCUGAGAAAAACAACUCAGAUGCUAGAAUUUAACAACAUGGAGAAGACCAGAUGAAAGGAGAGGGAUUCUCAUGACCCAGGAAGAAACUGAGAGAGGAAAAAAAGAAAGAAAGGUAGGAAAAACAUGAAUGAAAGACUGGAACCAGACACACUCACUGGCACUGGUCCCACGCCGUGCUGGGCGUGUCGUGGAGUCAGAAGAUUCACGGUUGCACGGAAGCUGCAGCCUCCGAAAUUGGGAGUUGGUGAGUCCCGGGCCUUUGGCGGAAGGACGCGGCACAGCAUAGAGUGGAGCCAAGGUGGACAGCUGCAUUAAUUCAUGGUGAGUGCUGGAAAUUGGUUCCCCCUGCACAUGGGGCUGGCUGGAGGACCUACUGGAGUUGGGUAGGACAGGCCUGAACCCAGAAAUGCAGUGGCAUCAGUCAGUUGCCCCUGGCCCAGAGAGGACUGGUGGGAUCUGCUUGGGCUGGGUCACGCCCCUGGUCAGGACCCAAUAGCCAGGGAUGAAACUGUCCUGAACCUGUGAUGUUGGCACAGCACAGACUAAUGUGAUGAAGGCACUCACCGGUUGACUGGCUCAGAGGACAGGGGCCAGCCCACAGUUCCUGCAUGCACCUCAGAUAACAGCAAACUGGGGAAGGCAGCAAGCCCCCAGCCAGCAUGCUUUAGAAAAACCAUAAGCAAUAUGGAGAGGGCCUGAGACCUCCACCACACACCUGUCUGAAAGAAACCAGAAACAUGACAAGAGAAAGAAAUAAGAAAAAGCCUCCAGCCACUGACCCUGGGAAAAUAAGUCCAGGAGAAGUAAAUACAGAAGAGAUCCAGUGCAGCAAUCAUUCAAUUUUGCCACAACACCAGCAGACAUGAAGAAAUACCUUCGUGACCUCAUAGACGAACUUAAAACUGAAAUUCUAAUCCAAGUGAGACAAGAUAUAAAAAGAUUAAUAGAAGAAAUGCUAAGCCCUUCUCAAGAAGAUACAGAUGGAAGAAUAGAGGAGCCCAGAAAAAGAAGAAAAACCUUUGGUGAAGAGUAUAAACAAAAUCUAGAAUACAUGAAACAGAUCCAAAGAGAUUACCAGGAAAUUAAAACUCCAUUGAAAGCUGGCAAAAUGCCUCAAAGAAACUAACAUUAGCCUUUCAAAAUUUGAAGAUAGAUUUGCAAUGUGUGAUUGUGAAAGAAAAGACCUCUUAAAAAUAACAAGUAACCAGGAAGUAACAAUACAAAGCCUAGAAGACGACAAGAGGAUCUACAACUUAAGAAUAAAAAAUGUGAGCGAAGAAGCAGGUGUAACCACAAAUGAAUUACAAAGGCUAUUCACAGAAAUAAUUAAGGAAAACUUCCCAAUCAUAGGAAAAAGAAAUGAUAUCCAGAUAAAUGAGGCAUACAGAACUCCAGCCAACUACAACCAAAUCAGAUCUACACCCAGACAUAUAAUAAUCAAGAUCCCAGAAAUUCACCACAAGAACAGAAUAUUAAAAGCAGUCAGAGAAAAGAAACAGAUUUUCUAUAAGGGAAAAUCCAUCAAAAUAAUGACAGACUUCUCAACACAAACAAUCAAAUCAAGAAGAGUCUGGAGUGAAAUAGUCCAAGCCCUGAAAGAAAAUAACCUCCAACCCAGAUUGAUAUACCCUGAAAAACUGUCUCUUAAAAUUCAUGGAGAAACAAGAUGUUUCCAAGACAAGGAGGAACUGUGGGAGUUCAUGGCCACCAAUCCAACCCUACAAAAAAUACUGAAGGACAUUCUACAGAGAGAUAGAAAAAAAAUACCAGGAUUCCAGCAACAGUGGCAGCGAGGCCUCAAUGAACAGGGCAGACAGUGGUAAAAAGUUUCAACACCACUUAAAUAGAUAACAGAUUGCUCCCCUAAUCUAAAAAACUAAAGAAGUUAGUGGGACCCAAAAUAUACAAAGCACCCUGAAAAAGGGAAAAGGAAGGAUUGCCUAAAAAAGGAAGGCAGAGGACAUUGUUAAUAGUGUAUCAGGAUUUAAAAGCCACAGUAGUCUUAUCACUCUGUUUAGUUUGAUUAUAUUUUGUUCCGGUCUGUCUACUCAUACUAGACUUCAGGGCACAGACAGCUAUCCCAAAAAUAGCAGGAUAUACCAUGGUAAAUAUCAUUAAUUCCUAUUAACUUAAACUGAAGCCCUAUAUUACUUGCAUUGUCUUACUAUAACUGAUCUUAUUUGAAUCUGGUUUGUUAGACUGAUUUUAUUCAAAUUUGGUAUGCUUGAUAGUAUCAAGUCUAGGAGUGGAGGCAACUACUCUGAAGAUGACAAGAUGCAAUGAGAUACUCAUUACGGUUGGAUUAUUAACUGCUUUUGAAGUCCUACAAUGUCUCCAAUGUUGUGUUUUUAUUAAAAUUGCUCUGUAAUGCUAUGUUCAAUUAUAUUAUGUCUGAUAAUGUAGACAAUUCUAUUGAAAAUAACAAGAGACUGCAUAGUAACUACUGUAGAUCACCUAAUAUUGUGAUUUUAUAUGUCUUUUUCGUUUCAUGUUUUUCUAGGAAUUUGUUUGUUGUCUUGUUUUGAUCUAUUUUCCCCUAUAAUACAGAAAGGAUAGGUAUACAUGUAGAGAUUCACAUGUGUGGAGAAUUUGUUAACAGUUAUGGAAACAGACUAUAUAAUGCACGAUGUAAUGAACAGAUACUCUGAAGAAGAAGAGACACUAAGAUACUCAGUGCUAAUUAUGUAGCAUUAUGAUAUGAAAUCUAGCAACACUACUAUUCACUGUUCAGAGUGAUAUUAGUAUAGCCUUAUUUUAAUUUCAGCAUACAUAAAGAUAUGGACAGAUACUUUGAAGAGAACGAGAGACAUUAGCAGCCAUUGUUGAAUUCCCCAUUGUUUGGUCUUGAAGACCUAAAAAGCAUUCAUCAUCCUGUUCUGAUUAAUUUAGUACUACAAUGUUAAUUUAGUACUAUAAUGUUCAGUAUGUAUUCACUGUGUGUGAAGAUGUGGACAACAAUUUGGAAGAAAACAAGAGACAAUAUGAUAGAUAGAUAAGAAAACAAGAGACAAUAUUGCUUUGAAAUCCAUGUUUCUUAAAAUUGCUUCUUUAUGAUGUUUUGUUCUAUUUAAUUUUACCCUCUUUAAAAUAAAAAAAUUAAAAAAUAAAGGAAAAGAUGGAAACAAAGAUAUAUGAAUAGAGAAAGGAAGAAGCAUUGAAAGGACAAGAGAGAAAUAGGAAAAAAGAAGUAUUAUGUACAGGUACAAAUUCCCUGUGAUGAAUAUUACCAUUAUGUAUGACAAACUUGUAUUAAUA